rnacentral:lncRNA from 1 species
GCUGAGGAGAUUGGAAGGAAAAGGGAAAAUUUUGUGGUAAGAAGAUGAAUAGAGAGGUUUGGCUUAACUGUUCGGCUGAUUUUGUAGUCAGUGAGAAGACAUAAACGUCUCCAAAGUGCAGACAAUUUUAUCCAAGAUACUUACAGAACACGAGUUCAAUUCUUUCUGGAAUUCUGUACACCAACCUGCCCUUUAUCAGCUGUGAAGGGACUGAAGAGAAACUCUCCUAUUAACUGGUGACAGUCUACAGAAGAGUAACAGAGGUGAUCAAUAGAAAUCACUAGAAAAACUGGAUUUGCUUUGUCUAGACAGAAAAAGACUAAGGUAA